rnacentral:rRNA from 1 species
CCCGGGUCUUGUACACACCGCCCGUCACACCACGAAAGUCGGUAAUACCCGAAGCCGGUGGCCUAACCUCUUGAGGAGGGAGCCGUCGAAGGUAGGAUCGAUGAUUGGGGUG